rnacentral:rRNA from 1 species
UUGCCUGCAUACAUCUGCAUGGAAUAAUAGAAUAGGACUUCGGUUCUAUUUUGUUGGUUUUCGGAACCAGAAGUAAUGAUGAAUGGAGACAGGCGGGGGCAUUCGUAUUGCGACGUUAGAGGUGAAAUUCUUGGAUCGUCGCAAGACGCACUGAAGCGAAAGCAUUUGCCAAGGAUGUUCUCGUUGAUCAAGAACGAAAGUUAUGGGUUCGAAGGCGAUUAGAUACCGCCCUAGUCAUAACCAUAAACUAUGUGAACUGGCCUUUGGGGAGAUGUCCUCUGAUGCACUCCCCAGUAGCCUCCGAGAAGUCAAAGUUUUUGCAUUCCGGGGGAAGUAUGGUUGCAAAGCUGAAACUUAAAGAAAUUGACGGAAGGG